AGCAAUUUAGGUUAACAUUACAGACCGCGAGCCUUCAAAGCCCGAAGAGGGGGUGGGAGCCCCACAUUUGCUG